UCAGGCCUAACACAUGCAAGUCGAACGGCAGCACGGGUGCUUGCACCUGGUGGCGAGUGGCGAACAGGUGAGUAAUAUAUCGGAACGUGCCCUAGAGUGGGGGAUAACGUAGCGAAAGUUACGCUAAUACCGCAUACGAUCUACGGAUGAAAGUGGGGGACCGCAAGGCCUCACGCUCCUGGAGCGGCCGAUAUCUGAUUAGCUAGUUGGUGGGGUAAAAGCCUACCAAGGCGACGAUCAGUAGCUGGUCUGAGAGGACGACCAGCCACACUGGGACUGAGACACGGCCCAGACUCCUACGGGAGGCAGCAGUGGGGAAUUUUGGACAAUGGGGGCAACCCUGAUCCAGCAAUGCCGCGUGUGUGAAGAAGGCCUUCGGGUUGUAAAGCAAAUGGUCAGGAACGAAACGGUGGGGGCUAAUAU
rnacentral:rRNA from 1 species